rnacentral:rRNA from 1 species
GACGAACGCUGGCGGCGUGCUUAACACAUGCAAGUCGAGCGGUAAGGCCCUUUCGGGGGUACACGGAGCGGCGAACGGGUGAGUAACACGUGGGUGACCUGCCCUCAGCUCUGGGAUAAGCCUGGGAAACCGGGUCUAAUACUGGAUAUGACUCCAUGACGCAUGUUGUGGGGUGGAAAGCCUUGUGCGGCUGAGGAUGGGCCCGCGGCCUAUCAGCUUGUUGGUGGGGGUGANGGCCUACCAAGGCGACGACGGGUAGCCGGCCUGAGAGGGCGACCGGGCCACACUGGGACUGAGACACGGCCCAGACUCCUACGGGAGGCAGGCAGUGGGGAAUCUUGCGCAAGUGGGCGAAAGCCUGACGCAGCGACGCCGCGUGA